AUUGAACGCUGGCGGCAUGCCUUACACAUGCAAGUCGAACGGUAACAGGUCUUCGGAUGCUGACGAGUGGCGAACGGGUGAGUAAUACAUCGGAACGUGCCCAAUCGUGGGGGAUAGCUCGGCGAAAGCCGGAUUAAUACCGCAUACGAUCUACGGAUGAAAGCAGGGGAUCGCAAGACCUUGCGCGAAUGGAGCGGCCGAUGGCAGAUUAGGUAGUUGGUGGGGUAAAGGCUCACCAAGCCGACGAUCUGUAGCUGGUCUGAGAGGACGACCAGCCACACUGGGACUGAGACACGGCCCAGACUCCUACGGGAGGCAGCAGUGGGGAAUUUUGGACAAUGGGCGCAAGCCUGAUCCAGCAAUGCCGCGUGCAGGAUGAAGGCCUUCGGGUUGUAAACUGCUUUUGUACGGAACGAAAAAGCUCUGGCUAAUACCCGGGGCUCAUGACGGUACCGUAAGAAUAAGCACCGGCUAACUACGUGCCAGCCGCCGCCGUAA
rnacentral:rRNA from 1 species